GAAGAAGAAGAAGAAGAAGAAGAAGAAAGAUCACUCCAGUUCAGAGCUUCUCAGUUGGGGGUGAUUGGCAUUUUGGGGAGGAUAAUCCUUAGCUGUGAAAGACCAUCCUGGCAUUUAGGAUACUGGUCCCCCAGGCACUAAAGGAAACAGCAUUUUUGUGUCAACUCCAACUGCUCCCGCAUACUUCCAAACCUGCGGGGGAGGGUGGGCAGGUGGAACCACCCUGGUGGGGAGGCGCUGAGGGGCACACGUGGAAGCAGAAAGACCAGUUAGGAGGACAGUGGCACGGCUGAGGCAGUGAAGGGGAGAAAGGAAGAAUUUAGGGGAUUUAAUGAUGAACUAGGUAUUAGAGAAAGAUGAGAACAAGGAGGAACCCGGGUUUAUGAAAAUUAGUGCAUCCCCAGGUUUGUUUGUUUGAUGAGGAGAAAGGGGUAAAAUCACAUUUUAAUUGUGAGAUGCUUAGAGGGGAUGUUCAGGUGGGAAUAUGAAUCUGGAGUUCAGAGAGAGGUCAGGAGGCAGAGAGAAAUUCAGGGGUCCUCCUGGGCCGUCAUGGUGGUUAAAUCACGAGGCUGGCUGAGAUCUCCUGGGGAGAUGCGGUAAGUAGAAUGAGUUCCAAAGGAAGAGCCUUGGGCCCUGGACACUCAGAGAUCAGGACGCAGAGAGGAUCCAGCAAAGGGGAUGGGGAAGGAGCAGCCAGCGCAGGAGGAGGAGGACCAGCAGAAUGGGGGUUCUGGAAGCUCACUGGAGAGUGUGUGCCAGGCGCUGCGUGGGGCCCUUGCAGGUAAAUCACCUCAUCAGCUACUCACAUCACCCGUGAGGCUCAUGGUAUACACAGAAAGAAUGCUCUGAGAGAGCAUAAGCCUUCUACUUUAGCUUUUGGCAAAUGAAACGUGUAAUUUCAUGAUGAUUACCCUCGUUCUGCAGCAUGUUGCCCCUACUUAGCAUCUGCUGAGCACAGCCCUAAAGUGGCGGGAGAUGGGUGUUCCCACGCAUGAUGACACUCGUGUGGCCUCCGCCAUCUUUAGAGGCUCAGGAAGGGAGAAGAAGCUGCCACUGCUUCCAGUGGGUCAUUCCUGGACCUCAGUCAGCUGUUCCUGGAUUUUGCCUCUGUUCUUAGUAAAAUACAAUCAGUCAGACACUACCAUAGAACGAAGCGAUUUCUCUGGCCCUUUUUAAAGCUAGCAAAUUUGAAAUUUUACCUCAUUUUGUUCAAGAAAAAUUCAAAUGCCUGCCCUCUCCAGGCCUAGCCGGAGGGUAAUCGCACCUCUACUUGAUGAAAUAUUCUGCAGCCAUUAAAAACGUCUAUGAGAAGUAGGCAAUAGCAUGGAAAAAUGCUUAGAUUUUGAAGUUAAAAAGGCCGACUGUAACAUUGCAUAUUCAAUAGAUCACAGCCAUGUAAUGUAAACAAACCAAAACAAAACAGAUGUGCAGGAAAAGAAAACAUUGUAAAGACUCUGCCAAAAUAUUGAUGGUGGUUUUCACUGGGUGGUGGGAAAAUCAGAAAUAUAUUUACCUUUUUCCUGAUUUUAUGUAUUUUCCAAAUUUUUAUAAUGAGUAUAUAUCAUUUUAGAGCAGUGUUGCCCGAUAGAAUUUUCUACAAUGAUGGAAAUAGUCUGGAUUUGUACUGUCUAAUCCAUAGCCACCAGCGACAUUUGGCUCUUGAGCACUUGAAAUAUGGUUAGUGUGACGGAUGAGCUGGAUUUUUAAUUGUGCUAAAUUAUUACUAAGUUAAAUUUAAAUAUUAGUAGCCAUACGGGGCUACUGACUACUGUAUUUUGGCAGUGCAGGUUUAAAGUGCAAAAAAUAAUAUAAGGAAACGUGUAUUAUAUCUCAAUAAAGUUGUGAAAAAUAACGUAGGCAUUUUAAAUGUGUUCACCAUAUCAAGCCUUGACAUUUUAUUGCAAUGUGGGAGUGAGUUUGGACUUCAUAAUAGGGAAUAUGGACACAGCACAGAAAAACAUCAGAGUUUUUAUUUAAAUAGUUUAUUUUCUAGCUCAAUAAAAGGUGAUCCAGCAUUAAGCCUGUUCUUGGCCAAGUUCUGUUUUAUGCUGGAAAGAAACAAACAAUAACCCGGAUGGUCUUCGUCAUUCUUCAGCAACAACUUCUGCUCUUAGGAAUAAUAUUCUUUUGUAUACCCGUCUAGGUCUUCAUGCGGGUUCCAAGCAUGUGAGUGGUAUCUUUUGAGGUGAGAGCAAAGCUUGUUAGCCCCACUUUUUAGAUGAGAAGAUAAGGCCGAUGAAGGUUCGGUUCCCAAAGUCAUGAAACGAGAAACAAAGGCAAAGCCUCUUAUUUCUUGAAGCCCAGCGGAUUUUAUUAUCUUUCACAAUAUGAGCAGAUCAAUUUCUGAAAAACUGUCUUGGGAAGGGGACUUCCCCCAAGGAACUGGGAAGAUUUGCUGCUUUUAAGUCCUUUAAAUGAAGUUUUAGAACCGUCCUGAGAUUAGUUCACAGAAGGCAGGGCACUGUGCACCUAGCAAAGGUUGCCCUUUAUUUGGUUGGAUCUGUGUCUUUACGCUUUCCAUGGAAAUGCCAAGCAAAAAAACACUUGUCUUUUCGUGUCACCUUAUUCUAGACCCCUCACCUCCAUCCUCUGCCCUCCCUCCACCACUCACAGAACCUCUUGCCAUGUGGGGACUUAGCCAAUCGUAGUUCCACAUCUGGCAAUUUAGAAAGAUUUAGAAAGAUGCCGAGCUCUCCUGGGAUCACGUUCCCUGGACCACUGAGGUGCAGGGGACGUGGCAUUAGAGAGAUGACUUCAGCCGAACAGGCCACCCCCACCCUGGGCUCUCCUCGUCUGGGUGGCCCCGAGGGUUUGCUAAGAGCAGCAGGCAGCAGGCAAUUGAACACAAAUGAAUCCACUGAAUGUUUUCAAACCUAAAGGCUCGAUCCUUUUCGCAUCAAGUUCUAGGAAAAUGUUGGAGCCAGUUAUGAUUUAAAAAAAAAAAUCAUAAAAAAUUGGUUCACCCGUCUGUCAGUACCGCCAAGAAAUAUUCACAUGAGGAGGAGUAUCCAAAAAAAUGAAGAGUAGCUCUUUUCCAAGACAGAUCUCUGGAACUCUCUCCCUCCCGUGCUCAGAACCACUUCCUCUCCUCAAAUCUCACUUUAAAACCUUCCUGUUUGCUUUAGCCUAUGACUGACUCAGGCCCCAUUCAUCUUUCUUUCCUCUCUCCCCAUGACCACAUCCUUCCACUCUCCCCUCACCGUGCACCGUGAGAACACUCGCCUGCCUCUUUCCUCCUCCAUCUUUCAGGCCCUUCUCUGUUCCCUGCAGCCACAGCCGGGCAUGUCGGGGUGGCUUGCUGGCCUGCCCGAGUCACCCUCGCCCCGUCCAGACGGGUUUAAGCGUGGGGCCUUCCCCACAUGAGUGCCCGCCCUUCUCCCUGAGGAGGAGGAGGCCAUGAAUUUCAAUGGUCCUUCUGCCUAAAGAGGCGCUUUGCAAGUUGUAUUUCACCAGUUACUGACUCAGAAACUUGAGAAGCAGAACACAAGGAGACCUUGUCAGAGACCUGCAAAGAUACCAAGCCCCACCCUGUUUCCCUUGGGAGGCUUCAGGGAAAGCCUGAAGGGGGUGGGAAAUAAACACAGGCCAACCCGGGGCGGUUGCUCACCUCCAGAAUAGAGUUAUAAUUGUCUCCGCUGCGCUUCCUGUUUCCCUCAGGUAAGGAGGAAGGCGCAUUCCUCAGCAACGUUCCAAGGAAGGAUUGGCCCCGGGAAAACAGUCCCAGAGUGAGCCCAAGUGUUUGAAUUCUUUUUGUUCAGGGUAUACACAUGGUAUUUUCUAAAGAAUGUGGUUUCAAGUUGGCUCUCUGGACAACGGGCAAGCUGUGGGCUUCUCCAUGAUGCAUCACUCUCCUCCAACCCAAGAUGGAGCCUUCUCCCGCAAACAUGGAGGCAGGCCAGUCUGCUCCGGCCUCCACAGUGAUAGUUCCCCUGAUAGCUCCAAAAGAAAUGCUUCGAGACCCAAAUGCCCCGGAGUUCAUCUGAUGAAACACAUGCUUGACUCCCAUUUGAUCUUCUCACAAUAACAACAGCUGCCAUUUUUCUCCCACAUCAUUGUUUCCACAGCACAUUCGUAUUUGCUAUGUGAAGUGCGUAAGGCAGGUAUUAAUAUUCCCAUUUUAUACUUAAAGGACUAAGGUCGACGUGACUUGCCUAAGGUCACAGAGGUGGUGAGUGGUGGAGUUGGAAUCCACAUGAAUCUUCUAUAGGAACCCCGGCCCAACUACAGACAUGCCCAGAUGAGCACACCAGUGCCUGGAGAGGAAAAAUCUGGAGAGGCCUUCCACAUGGAAGCUGUUAUCACAAAAUGGAUCUUCCUGGAGUGAGGAGACAGCGUGGUACACCGGGAGACGAAGGCAGUGGACUGCGGAAUGGGAAUCUGGGUCCCAAUGUCAGUUCUCCCACCACCUGCCUGUGGCUUUAGGAAAGGCCUGUUCCUUCCCUUGCCUCCAUGGCUUCAUCUGUCCAAUGGAGUGACAUGGAGAUGAUGAAAGUAUGGUUCCUAGUUUCCAAAGAUCUUUUCCUAAUGACUUUUGCGGCAUCCCCCAAACAAGGCCAUGAGGACGAUAGAGAAGAUGCAGACAUCUCCAUGUUACAAAGGAGAAAGUGCGACUCAGAGAAGUCAAGUGACUCAGCCAAAGUCACACAGCUGAAUUCGAGCAGAGCAAGGGCCCCAGGUGGCUCAUGCUAGAGGUGAAGACCUUCGUAUUCUCCUAGUUUCUCUUAUAAUAAUGUCACCUCCUGGAGCGAGCAAGUCCUGGCUGAGACACAACGGCAUCUAGAAACAGUCCUGACUAUUUGAGAACUUCUUCCUCUGUGGUGAAAAACUGAACCGGCCUGCCCCAUUUUCCCAACCACCUCACGACUCGAAGAGCAAUUGCUUUAGCUCUGACAAAAUUAGGCCACCUCCGACCUAAAUGGAGCCCAUUUUCAGAGUAAGACCCUGCGUGGAGACAGCUCUUUCCUGGAAGGAUAACAAAAGCAUGCUUUUGUGUGUAUUUCACUUGAUGGAAAGGAAUCCCCAGCGAGGCCAUUUUUUCCCCCUGAUUUCUCCCAAGUCCAGAAUGUAUCCAAGUUUCCAAGAUAAUCUCAGAAGAGCCAUUCGUCUACGAAGAUGGCCAAAUUGUCUUCCAGCUCAGUAGACAGGGUGUGUUUGAGAGACAAGGUGAGGGGGUGAGAAUAGGGGUGUGGGAAGAGGGUGAGGGAGCUUGAUAGCAAAGGAGAAAAUGUGUCGCCGACAAAUGCUGACGGAAGACGAAAGAAACCAAAGGGCCAGCCCCGACUCUGGGGUCCCCUCUGCCAGGGACAUUUUCAGCUCAUUCUUUUCAGGACCUGUCACAGUCUGCCUGGCGAGCCGUCACUUCUCAUCACUGGGCUCUCACUGAGGAUCUUUGUGUCAUCACUGUCAUGAAGAGACCUGGCAACUGGCAAAGAAUUUCCUGGGGCGCUACCCGAUACACCAUUAUUCGCCUCUUAUCAUCUUAGCAGAGUAGUUACGCCGCUGUCAGAGGAGUGAGAAUGAAGUCUGAGCAGGGACUGACGCGGCUGUACGAGAUCUCCAAGCAGAUGAGGUGGACUCCCUGGCCGGCGAGAAAUGAACAGCGCGGCCCGUGGAAGAGCGUGGGCUGCUGUUGGGCUGGGGUGUUGCCUUUAUCACACCGGAGAUUUAGGCCUGCACUGAGCAAGGGGUGAGGCUGACACCAGGAGACAAGUUCUCAGAGACUGGUCUCUCACGGAAAAGCUCUGAGAGUCUCCUUGAUGUGGGUUUGUGUGUGUGCAUGCAUGUGUGUGUGUAUUACCAUUUUGGUGAUUUUAAGCAUCCUUUUGUGGGAUUCAAACAUUCUGAGAGUGAAAAAUGAUCAUUUUAAGCCAGAUUGGGUAAGGUAGGGUCAUAAAUCAGGAAGGAAGACCAGAUUCUGUCUUUGUGUGUGUACGUACGUGUAUAUGUGUGAGUACACGCACAUGUGUGUGCAUGUACGUGUGUGCAUGUGUGUAUGUGUAUACAUGCACAUUGCGUGUGUGUACCUGUGUGUGUGCGCACAGAGAAGGCGCCAGCAAGCGAGCCUCCUGGGGUGAGUGGGAGGAGCAGAUGUGGGUCUGAGCAAGGGAGCUGGUUUUGAUGAAAUAUUGGCUAACGCUCGGGGCACCGAAGGAGAAGAGGCUCUGGUCAGGGAACUGUGCUGCAUUAGAAUUUAUAAUAGAUUAGCUUAUCUGCCCCUUGAUCUUCAAGGGUAUUUGGGGAGCUGAGGAUGAGCCAUUUCUGCCUUGAUUUUCGCAGUGAGAGGAAACGUCUGAAACAGUAUUCCCAGCCUUUCCCUCUGCACAGCCCAAGGCGGUGAGAGCUUGGUAUUCACACCCCCACUCAGGUCAUUCGGAGGAGGCUGACAGUGCCCAGGAAUGCUGACAUGCUUCAAAACAUCACACAAGAAAGAACCCACUCAGAUUCCUAAGGGGAGUUGCUGUCGGUCCAUCCUGAGCCGGAGUGCAACAUUGGAUGUGAUUGCCAUGGCUCCCCCUCCCGCUGCAGGAGCUCGAAAUCCAUAUUCAUCCACGAUGUCUGCAGGACUCCCCUCUCGCUGUCCAUCUGUCUGUCUGUCUGACUCUCUCUUCCUCGCUCUCUGAGGUAAAGGGUGCUCGCUAUCCUGAAAAGGGGAGCGUGCCAGAAUGUUCCAGAUGAGCUGCUGGCAGCAAUGUUGCUUUAAACACCAAGGAGCUGAAGCGGCCGGGAAAGAAAGAGUGAGGGGUGAAGUGUGGUUUGAUGUCUCGGCGCACUGGGACAUCAUGAUUCAUAUAACAUGAGCUCCUCGGAGUCCUUGAUUAAAUCCUAGCCUAGCACCCCCGGCUGAACUGGAACUCUGAAGUCCAGCCAAGGAGCGUUACUGGUCCUGCCUCAGCAAACAGUUGGUGGGUCACAGGCAAAGAACAGUGGAGGGGUGCUUUUUUCACUGGAAAAAUUACCUGCUGGGAAAGGAGGAAUCAUAUGAUGUGUGUGGGGGGGAAAACCAGCCAGGAAGGACCUGGCUCUCACAUUACAAGGCUGCUUUCUGAAGUCAGAGGGACUUUUUAUUCCCCCCAGAGGCCUGCGGGCCCCAGCCAAAGUGGCUGUGCGUGGCUCUGAAGGGUGUGGUGUUAGGGGCGCUGCACGCUGGGGCUCUGGAUGCCAGGCUGGGAACGGGGAGAGAGGAGAGCUGGGGACGAGGCUUCACUGUCCUCAGACUCACUCUCUUAAGGCGGGAGGGAGGUGAAGAGGAGAGAGAGGCUGCCCUGUUUCCCCUCUAGCCAGGGGACGGGGCCCUCUAUUGCCUCCACUUAGGACUUUCUAUGCAUGGAGUUCCCUCUCUCCCUUUCUAUGACAUUUCACAUGUCUGGCCACUAUUUCCAUCUCCCGACUCCUUAAAACUUUCCCGUCUCUCACUGUACCCUCUCUCUGCUUCUCCGACAGCCUUCACUCCCUCUUUGCAUGGAAGUUGCAUAAUGAUCUCUCACUUCACGACGCCCCCUUUCCCAAUGCUUAGUUCAUGUCGGUUUGAGCGGGGAGACUUUGGGGCAUGUGACUCAGGACUGGCCAGCAUGUUUGGUUUAAGGAUGGGGCUGUGGAGCCAAGAGGGUCCAAUCAGAGCCAAACCUGGAACUUCUGUUGGAAACUUUUGUUGGAACUUUUGGGAUAGAGAAGUUCUCUUUCAUCUGGGGUUGAUGGGAUGAGAGGAUGAAAGCCUGGAGCUUCCAGGGGCCACGGUGAUGAGAACAUCUGUCUGAAAAUGAUGCCACUGGAAAAGGAAGAACAAAGAGAUGGAUAGAGAUGGAUUUCUGAAGGCAUGAUUUGAGCACCAGGAUCUAAUCAUACCUGAGGUCAGGAUCUAAUCCUGGACUCCUCAGUUAUACUAACUAAGAAAUUUCUCCCUUUUCUUCUUUAUCCAGUUGGAUUUUUUCCUGUUACUUGUAAUUGAAAGUAUUGUAUUUAUAUGUUGGGUCGAUACCCGCUUCUGUCUUUUCUGCAUGGAGUUCCCUCUCUCCCUUUCUGUGAGUCCUCAACUUUCUGUGUCUUCUUUGUUCCCCUUACUCACUCAGGCUUUCCAUCCACUCUUGUGGUGUCAACUAUGACCCCUGUGAGAUUCUCGUGCCCCACUCCCACAUUUGGGCAUCUAGCUUAGAUCUUGUUCUCGUGUCCAGCCAUCUAUAAGACAGUUCUGCAUGUGCCUCAUGCACGUGGACAUGCACAGCUGCCUGAAGUUAAUGUGACUCCUGAUCCUUGGGAAGGAGAGGGCCCCCCUUUUCAACCACCUCCUCUUCAACCCUGGCAUCUGAUCCCCCUGGUUCAAAGCCAGAAUUAUCUUUGAUUCCUUCUUCUCUUCCUUCCUGUCCCCCUAUAUUGAAUCAUCCAUCAAGUCUUCCAAAAUUUCUCUUGUGGAUGUCAUUUUUUUCUCUAUCUACCACCAUCCUCUGGUCUAAAAUCUCAUCAUGAUCAUCUCAAAACCCUCUUACCUGCCUUUCAAAUACUCAUUUCAAACUGUCCCACCCAUCCAGCACACUCCUGCUUGUUUAACUUCCUCAAAUACCUUUCACCUCACAGCUUGCCUGAAGAAACCAGAUUUCUCACUGUUGCGCAUCUCCGGGUCCCUCAGAUGCUGGCAUUCAUGAAGCAUGAGAAGCCACAGGAGCACCCUUCUGGAAUACUAAUUUGACUGCAAGGUUUCUUGGGAUGUGGGAAGUUAAGUGCUUUAACUAGAAAGAAAUUAAAAACAUUUUUAUAUUAAAACAGAUCAAUCUUAUGUAAAGUAGAAUGCAAUACUCACGUGAAUUUUAAAGAUUAAACAUAGAUUUCAAAGACGUUCUGAGACUGUAAAAGUCUACUUUCAGCCACCACCCAAGAGUUCUGGGAUUCUUUUCCCUCUGCCGUUGGGUAGAAAGUUUGAAAAAGCAUCAACAUGUUGAGUCAUUUCUAACCUCCUCGAUCUGGUGUUUCUCUCACCUGGCCCUAUCUUUCGUACCCUCCUCCUUUUCUCUCACUAUUUCCUUGAGGUAGAGGGCUCUUCUGGUUGUUCUUUGAACUCAACACUCUCAUUCCCAACCCUGUUUCAUGCCACCAUAUCCUUUUCCAAGUGAGCUCCUUUCUCUUUUUAUCAGCCUAAAUCGUCUAUCUCUUUCAGGCUUAAUCACCAGCUCACAAUGGUCUCUCCCUUCUGGAAUUCAUAUCAAUACAUGAAUUAUAUGCUGGACAAGAGUCACUCAUCUGCUCAAAACCCUUAAAAGCCUCCUUAUGUUCUGGCUGUGGAAUGAAGUCUAGACUCCUUUGUAUGACACACUGGCUCUUGGCUGAUCUGGACUCUGCCUGAUACUUCAGUCUCAACUGGCCUUGUGACUACCCUUGAUCUUUGCUGUUCAGACUUCAAGAACCGCUGUAGUGUCCCCAAAGCACAGUGGUCACUUUCACCUUAUCUUUAUCCUCUUCAUCUCCUUCUCUUUCUCUUGGCUUUACCCAUUAGGACUCAGCUCAGUCAUAAUGUCCUUCUUGGCCAUCGCUCCAAAGCUAUCAUAGCCCCCUGAGCAGAUCUCCAUCUCAGCAUCAUUUGGAGCAGCCUUUCUUACCUCCCUCUCUGCUGGCCAGAUGGGGAGCUCCUUACUGCAGAAAUAAGCCAUCUUUGUUAUCCCUGCUGUAAUAUUUCUUAAAUGAAUUAAUUAAUGAACAAACAGGAUGUAUCAGGAAACUUAGGAUUUACUUUCUUUCCAUUAUCCAUGUGAUCUUGGGCCUUUCUAAGCUUGUGUAUCAUUUUAUAGUCAAGUCUGUUUCAUACACACAAAUCUUUUGAUCUCUAUUUACCUGAGGGUCCCUGGCAGUAUCAAUAAUUAUACAGAUUGGAGCUGAAAACUGGACCUGGGACUAAGACACAAAUGAAGAAGUGGGGAUCAGCAGAUGAGCAGGACCAAGCUUGCCUCCUUCUCUCCAAGAUGGCACACCUUGCAUAGAAAAACAUCCACAUACUCAGGGUUGGUUUAGGAGCUCUGGGUAAAGGUCAGCAGAGAUACAGUUUUGGGUGAGAUACAGCACAUUUUAUACAGAUUAUUCUGUCCUAGCCCACAAGAAAGCUGUCAAUUAUAUUUUUAGAUUCCAAGAGCUCUUACUUAUUUGCUGAAAAUCCUUUUUUUCCCUACUUUUUCUCCCCAAAUUCCCCCAGUACAUAGUUGCAUAUCUUAG